UUGCUUCGGCAGCACAUACACUAAAAUCAGAACCAUACAGAGAAAGGUAGCAUGGCUCCUUCAUAAAAAUGACACAAAAAUUUGUGAAGCAUUCCACAUUUUG